GAUGAAGAACGUAGCGAAAUGCGAUAAGUAAUGUGAAUUGCAGAAUUCAGUGAAUCAUCGAAUCUUUGAACGCACCUUGCGCCCUUUGGCCAUUCCGAAGGGCAUGCCUGUUUGAGUAUCAUGAACACCUCAACUCUUUAUGGUUUUCCAUGAUGAGCUUGGACUCUGGGGGUUUUGCUGGCUCACAGUCGGCUCCUCUAAAAUGAAUCAGCUUACCAGUGUUUGGUGGGUAUCAUGGGUGUGAUAACUAUCUACGCUUGUGGUUUUUCCACCAGGUAACCUUCAGCAGUGGAGGUUCGCUGGAGCUCAUAGAUGUCUCUCCUCAGUGAGGACAACCCUUUGAAUGUUUGAUCUCAAAUCAGGUAGGACUACCCGCUGAACUUAAGCAUAUCAAUAAGCGGAGGA
rnacentral:misc_RNA from 1 species